AUUGAACGCUGGCGGCAGGCCUAACGCAUGCAAGUCGAGCGGAUGAAGGGAGCUUGCUCCUGGAUUCAGCGGCGGACGGGCGAGUAAUGCCUAGGAAUCUGCCUGGUAGUGGGGGAUAACGUCCGGAAACGGGCGCUAAUACCGCAUACGUCCUGAGGGAGAAAGUGGGGGAUCUUCGGACCUCACGCUAUCAGAUGAGCCUAGGUCGGAUUAGCUAGUUGGUGGGGUAAAGGCCUACCAAGGCGACGAUCCGUAACUGGUCUGAGAGGAUGAUCAGUCACAUUGGAGGUGAGACACGGUCCAGACUCCUACGGGAGGCAGCAGUGGGGAAUAUUGGACAAUGGGCGGAAGCCUGGUCCAGCCAUGCCGCGUGUGUGAAGAAGGUCUUCGGAUUGGAAAGCACUUUAAGUUGGGAGGAAGGGCAGUAAGUUAAUACCUUGCUGUUUUGACGUUACCAACAGAAUAAGCACCGGCUAACUACGUG
rnacentral:rRNA from 1 species